rnacentral:rRNA from 1 species
UCUCAGUUCGGAUUGUAGUCUGCAACUCGACUACAUGAAGCUGGAAUCGCUAGUAAUCGCGAAUCAGAAUGCUGCGGUGAAUGCGUUCCCGGGUCUUGUACACACCGCCCGUCACACCACGGAAGUUGGGGGCGCCCGAAGCCACUUAGCUAACCCUUUUGGGAAGCGAGUGUCGAAGGUGAAAUCAAUAACUGGGGUGAAGUCGUAACAAGGUAAC